GUCCCUUUCAACUCUACAGUUCUGUGAUUCUAUGGGGGGGGAGAGAGAGAGAGAGAGAGAGAGGUUCCCUCGCAUAUAAGUGUAUAAAUAUGCUGCAUUGGAUGUAAAUAUGUGAACACAGAAGCAUAGAUUUGUAGGGUUGGAAGGGAC